rnacentral:rRNA from 1 species
UACGUAGGUGGCAAGCGUUGUCCGGAUUUAUUGGGUUUAAAGGGUACGUAGGCGGCCCUGUAAGUCAGUGCUGAAAUCCUCCGGCUUAACCGGAGAUGUGGCAUUGAUACUGCAGGGCUUGAGUACAGAUGAGGUAGGCGGAAUUGACGGUGUAGCGGUGAAAUGCAUAGAUAUCGUCAAGAACACCGAUAGCGAAGGCAGCUUACUGGGCUGUAACUGACGCUGAUGCACGAAAGUGUGGGGAUCAAACAGG